rnacentral:lncRNA from 1 species
GCCCCUGCAUAUGCUUCUUCUUUUUUUUUUUUUUUUUUGAGGAAGAUUAGCCCUGAGCCAACAUCUGACACCCAAUCCUCCUCUUUUUGCUGAGGAAGACUGGCCCUGAGCUAACAUCCAUGCCCAUCUUCCUCUCUUUUAUAUGUGGGAUGCCUGCCACAGCAUGGCUUGACAAGUGGUGCAUAGGUGUGCACCAGGGAUCCGAACCAGCGGACCCUGGGCCAUCAAAGUGGAAUGUGCGCACUUAACUGCUGAGCCACCGGGCCAGCCUCCCCAGCAUGCUUCUGAGUUACCUUCAUGAAACCUGUGCUGCACUUGUGAAGGUCUCUGGAAGGAAUGGACUGCUGUUAUGCCUGAUGUUCUUAUUCUCCAUGAGAUGCCACGGUAUGGCUAUCGAUCAUCAAUUUAAGGUUGAUUCUGUUUCUCUACAUCAUUUAUAACGUUAUUAUCAUCCUCCUGAAUAUAAUGCUUUCAGCGUGGAUAUCACGCAUAAAGAACAGCAAUUUCAUACUUAACAUUCUCAAAAGAUAGAUAUCACAGCUCAGGAUAGUAAAUCAAGAAAGUAGUGCAUUUUUACAACUUGGCAAUCAAGGCACAUUUGCUUAUGACUUUUAAAACAGAAAAUGUAAAGGGACAAUAAGAAAAUUUUCUGUCGCUAGUUUGAGAUAUAAUUCUAAGAAUCCUUUCAGCUUUAAAAUUCUGAUUUUAAUUUUAAAUCAACUUGUCAGUGAAUAUUAUACUCUUUUGAAUGUAUCUUUAUUUAAUAACAUUUUUUUAAUAAAACUUCUUAACUAUCUUUCAGAAUGAACCUGAGAUUUAAAAUACUUCCUAAGAGCACUCUCUCAUCUGAGAGAGUUUCUUUGGUGUUCUUAUAUUAACAACGAAAAGGAGGAGGGAGUUUAGAAUGGGGGCUAGAAUGAGAAAAAGCUUCAAUAUAAAAUUGUAAGCAAUUGAAAUAUCUUGUAUAUACCUGCAACAAAACAGGGAAUUUAGCUGUGUAUACUGCCACCUAUAAUUCACUGAAGUAUAACAUUCUUCUCAGAUAAAAGAAGGAAAUUCACA